GCCUGCGGUAAACACACACCAGCCCCUCUGCUGCUGUGCAGAGCUGGGAGGCUCUAUAAAGACAGCCGAAUGCCAUUCGGUUGGAGUGAAAGACUGGUUGACUGUAUUUGAAUUUUCAGUUCUGUUGAAAGGAUUUGCCCGGUUGGUGAAGGAGGAAGACGGAGAUGAAAAUCCUGCUGCCCUCGAUUCUCAUCCUGUCUGCUGUGUUCUUGCUGCAGUUUCCACAGAUACAAUGUUUUAAGGCUGCGAUACCGAUGGACCUCGCAGAAAAUUCCCUCGAUGAUCAAUAUGUCCGUUGCGAAAGCAAAAUGUUAAAACUUGUUAAGGAAAAAUAUCUUCCGUCAGAAUUACAAAACACCCCAAAUUUUAAAAACGUCUGGGAAACAGCGAAAAAGUCAAUGGUGAAAAAAAAGAGGAUGCCAUUGAAUCUGGAACAAGCCACGGCAAUCUAUGCUUAUACUAUGGAUGUUUACAACACUUUCAAUGAAAAAGUUAGAAAUGGAGGAAAACAUUAUAAAGCUUUUCCAUUCAAGUCGUUGCAUUUUUAUUUGACAGACGCCCUGAAAACUCUGAGAUCCAAGCAGAGUAAAUGUUAUGACGUGUUUAGAGGGGUUCAAGACCCCUUUACCGCUAAUGAGGGUGCAAUUGUACGAUUUGGGCAGUUUGCUUCUACCUCUCUAGUCAAAAGGGUAGCAGAAAAUUUU